UACGGGGGAUGCGAGCGUUAUCCGGAUUUAUUGGGUUUAAAGGGUGCGUAGGCGGCGCUUCAGGUCAGCGGUGAAAUACCGGGGCUCAACCCCGUCGUGCCGUUGAAACUGAUGUUCUUGAGUGGGCGAGAAGUACGCGGAAUGCGCGGUGUAGCGGUGAAAUGCUUAGAUAUCGCGCAGAACCCCGAUUGCGAAGGCAGCAUACCGGCGGCGAUCUGACGCUGAGGCACGAAAGCGUGGGUAUCGAACAGG
rnacentral:rRNA from 1 species